rnacentral:rRNA from 1 species
GACGAACGCUGGCGGCGUGCCUAAUACAUGCAAGUUGAGCGAUGAAGAUUGGUGCUUGCACCAAUUUGAAGAGCAGCGAACGGGUGAGUAACGCGUGGGGAAUCUGCCUUUGAGCGGGGGACAACUUUUGGAAACGAAUGCUAAUACCGCAUAACACCUUUAAAAAUAAGUUUUAAGUUUGAAAGAUGCAAUUGCAUCACCCAAAGAUGAUCCCGCGUUGUAUUAGCUAGUUGGUGAGGUAAAGGCUCACCAAGGCGAUGAUACAUAGCCGACCUGAGAGGGUGAUCGGCCACAUUGGGACUGAGACACGGCCCAAACUCCUACGGGAGGCAGCAGUAGGGAAUCUUCGGCAAUGGACGAAAGUCUGACCGAGCAACGCCGCGUGAGUGAAGAAGGGUUUCGGAUCGUAAAACUCUGUUGGUAGAGAAGAACGUUGGUGAGAGUGGGAAGCUCAUCAAGUGACGGUAACUACCCAGAAAGGGACGGCUAACUACGUG